rnacentral:rRNA from 1 species
AUGGUGUGGAAGCCGCAGCCUGCUAGUAUCUUCGUCACCGACCACGAGACGGCGCACAGCCAUCUCGUGCGCGGCAGCACCGGCGGUUCCUUCUCCAACCGCGCACCAUCCAUUUCUCCAAGCGCCAUCCUCUUGCGCCGUCGAUACCAGAACAUCACCUCCGCUCCCUAUGGUGAGCACUGGCGCGCCAUUCGUCACAACCUCACAUUGGAGGUCCUUCACCCGGUGCGGCUCCACAGGUACGCGUCGGCACGCCGCGGCGCCCUCUGUGGUCUCGUCGUGGACCUCGCCGAGCAGAGGAAAAACCGCAUGGUCCACGCGGCCGAGAGCAUCCGCUACGCCAUGUUUGGCCUCAUCGCCACCAUGUCCUCAGCGUUGCAGUGGAUCAUGGCCAACUUAGUGAAGCGCCCUGACAUACAGGAGGCCGUCCGGAGGGAGAUCGAUGCCGUCGUGAAUGCAGACGCCGACGAAGUGGGCGAGAAUGUUCUUGGGAAGCUGGAGUACCUCCAAGCUGUGCGUAUUCCGGUGGGCACCAAAGUGUACUUCCCACUGGCGGCUAUAGCACGAGACAGCACAGCGUGGGACAACCCUGACGAGUUCAAGCCACAACGGUUCUUGGCCUCCAAAGGUGCAUCAGAAGGAACCGACAACACGAUCAAAAUGAUGCCUUUCAGUUGUGGUCGGAGGAUAUGCCCUGGCAGCGGUGUCGCGAUGCUGCACUUAAGCUACUUCACCGCCAACCUCGUGAGGGAGUUCCGGUGGAGGGAGGGAGAAGGUGAGCUUGCCGUCGAUCUCCAGCUGCAUGUUGAGUUCUUUACUGUCAUGAAGCGGCCAUUGUGUACUCACCUAGAGCUUCGAGGAACAGAGAUCAAAACUAGAGUUAAUUAG